AGCCACAGCCAUAUCACCCUGCAGCCGGUUACUCACUAAAGCUAAGCAGGGCUGAGCCUGGUUAGUACCUGGAGGGGAGAACACUAGGGAACACUAGGUUGCUGUUGGAA
rfam:Danio rerio chromosome 18, GRCz11 reference primary assembly.